UAUUUUUUCUUCACCAAAUCACAAUCACUCUAUCCUAUCCUAUCUCAUAUCGUUUUAAAGUCUAAAUUGAACUAAACUAAACUAAACUAAAUUGAACAAUGAAAAUUUUUUUGUUGUUGUUUAUUCGUUCAAAUUUUCAGCUUAAUAAAAAACACCUAUACCUCAAAUUUAUGAAUCCAUGUGCGCGUGUGUCUUUGUGUUACUCUUUUACAAAAUGUGAAAUGGUCAUUGAUUUUGGUUAUAUAAGCCUAAUGUAGGAUUGAAAAAAAACUGCAACUUCGAUGUCAGCAAUGUGUAUUUUAAACAGCUUGUAUAAAAUAAAUCCCAGUGAAAAUUUAUUUGUUUUAAUACAUAUUUCGUGGUCGAUAUUACUUUUUUUCAUAUAAAAAUCGAAUCGAUUGAUUGCUCGUAUCAUCAGUCGUCAAGCAACA